UGCCCUGGCAAUGGGCGAAGGGAUUCCUUGGUGGUGGUGUUGUUAUAUCAAUCCUGGGCAGAACAGAUGUCAGCGCUUUGUUUAUCCUAGCUUGAUGCCUGGCUUGGUGGCCAAACUGACUUAUGCUCAGGACUCAUAA